rfam:Lactobacillus apodemi DSM 16634 = JCM 16172 strain DSM 16634 NODE_122, whole genome shotgun sequence.
GGUCAAUAUAUGAUUCUACCUAAGACUCAGGUGGCGCAAGCCUUAAUAUCCUGCCGAGGAGUAAUGUACGGUUAUUCUCUCUGUGUCUUGGUGGACAUGGAGCUUUUUUAUUUUAAAA